rnacentral:rRNA from 1 species
GUGGGGAAUUUUGGACAAUGGGCGCAAGCCUGAUCCAGCAAUGCCGCGUGCAGGAAGAAGGCCUUCGGGUUGUAAACUGCUUUUGUACGGAACGAAAAGGCUCUGGUUAAUACCUGGGGCUCAUGACGGUACCGUAAGAAUAAGCACCGGCUAACUACGUGCCAGCAGCCGCGGUAAUACGUAGGGUGCAAGCGUUAAUCGGAAUUACUGGGCGUAAAGCGUGCGCAGGCGGUUUUGUAAGACAGAGGUGAAAUCCCCGGGCUCAACCUGGGAAUUGCCUUUGUGACUGCAAGGCUGGAGAGCGGCAGAGGGGGAUGGAAUUCCGCGUGUAGCAGUGAAAUGCGUAGAUAUGCGGAGGAACACCGAGGGCGAAGGCAAUCCCCUGGGCCUGCACUGACGCUCAUGCACGAAAGCGUGGGGAGCAAACAGGAUUAGAUACCCUUGUAGUCC